GACGAACGCUGGCGGCGUGCUUAACACAUGCAAGUCGAGCGGUAAGGCCCGUUUCGGGGGUACACGGAGCGGCGAACGGGUGAGUAACACGUGGGUGACCUGCCUUUAGCUCUGGGAUAAGCCUGGGAAACUGGGUCUAAUACCGGAUAUGACCCUAUGGCGCAUGUUGUGGGGUGGAAAGCCUUGUGCGGCUAGGGAUGGGCCCGCGGCCUAUCAGCUUGUUGGUGGGGUGAUGGCCUACCAAGGCGACGACGGGUAGCCGGCCUGAGAGGGCGACCGGCCACACUGGGACUGAGACACGGCCCAGACUCUACGGGAGGCAGCAGUGGGGAAUCUUGCGCAAUGGGCGAAAAGCCUGACGCAGCGACGCCGCGUGAGGGAU
rnacentral:rRNA from 1 species